GAAAUUUUUAAACUGGUAAUUGCACACUUAUUUAUGAUGGAAAUCUCAAAAAUACAAUUUCAACCCCAGAAUCUGAAAAAUACCAUACAUGUAUAUUCUCUAGCAAUUCAUCAAACAAAUGGAUGCAAUAACAAGAAAAAAAACGAAAAAUCAUUUCUCACAAUACAAUACAAAUAUAUAAAAGAAGUUGCCCUUUUUAUCGCACUCUCACCUCAUUCUCACAUCUUCCAAUUUACACAAUGCCACUAGUAAUCCCUGGUGAAACUGUUCCCUCGAUAGUAUCGUAGCUGCAAAGAGACCUGCCUUUCUAGCAAAAGUCGCCGGCGAAAGUUUUCUAUGAAAAUCUCCGCCCUCUGGUCAAUGUCAUCCUCAGAAGCGUAACUUCUAGUUCUUUCAAGGGCUCGAACAGACUUGUUUUCAUCUGAUUCUACAUCUUCAAUGCACCCAUGCAACCCUAACCGAUCGUUAAAGCUCAAACGCCGUCGCCUCCUGGAGGCAUUGCCGAGAAUUGAAGCUACGCGCCACCGUCUCAGGUUAAAGCUUAUCACAAAGUUCAGCUUCUUCACGGCCCUCUUCAAGUGGCCUAGCACCGUCCAGUUUUUUCUGCCCAUUUUGAAGCUCAGGUGAGUGUUUGAUGGUAAAAGUGAGUGCAAAUGGAGGGUAUUAGGCUAUUUAUAAGGACGAUGAGGUUUAGGAACAGAGGAUUCUCGGACAAGAUUUCCAGUUUUACAAGGAAGCUCGCGGGAAAUAUCUCUGCCUCUACAGCUAACUGCAUUCAAAUUUCGUGACUAAAGACUAGGGUGACGGUUUGGUCACAUAUAG
rnacentral:misc_RNA from 1 species